GGGCAUGGAAGCUUUCCCCUGAGACGCUGAGCGAUGUGUGUGGGAAGCUCUGGAAGCAGAGGCUGGGUCACCUUUCCUUCCUGUCCCUACUCUGCUCAUCUUCUGAGGGCCCCACUGGGCAGCCAGCUGGCAGUGCCCCGAGCCCGCCGGGGAAGGUGGACUCUGGGCCUGCAAGUGCCCUGAACUCUCGGCCGGCGUGGGCAGCCCACCCCUCUGGUACCACCUAAUGAAGCAGCUAUAAAUACAAACCAUAAAUGUCCCAGAGCGAUCUUGGGGACCAGGGGCCACUGCUCAUUGUUCUUUAAAUGCUGCUGGUCAGCAGGAUGAAGAAGCAGCAAAUAUGCUUCGUGCUGCUGGGACUGUUGCAACAGCCGGCAGCUGCUCUGAGAGGCCCUGCUUAAAAGAGCAAGGCUCCCUGCCCGCAUCUUCUUUACCUUCUCCGCGAUGCCCUCAUCACCUGGCAUCCUCUCCAUCCCACCCUCCUGUUGUUUCCCAUCUGUCUCUCCUCGCUGGACUGCAGGCUCCAUGAGGACAGGGCUUUUUGUGGGCUUGCUGCUGUCUUCCCCACACGUGGCCCGGCCUGACACGUGGCCCGGCCCGGCACGUGGUGGGCGUGUGCUCCACAAAGAUCGGGUGAAGGAAAUUCACGAAUGGGCUUAAAGAAAUGAUGGGUGUAAGAGGCCCCAGUGGCUGUGUCGAAGGCCCAGCCUUGUCUUCUGCAGAAGCCGCCUUUGGUUAUUUCUGUCCUCGUGCUGGGGGACGGGGGCUUUGGGCCUGGCGUUUCCUCCUAAUCAGGUGUCCUUGGCUCAGCACACAUGCUGCAAUUUAGGGCGCAAUUUAGCUACGUGUGAAAGGGCAAGAAAGCCAUAAAGCAUGCACAGAAGCCAGAGAGAUGACUGGCCAGGGUGAAGUCAGCCCGCCCAGCCCGGCCCGGCUGAGCCUCUCGUCUGGUUUAUCUGUUUCAUUCAUUCAGCAAAUACAGGAUGUCUGCCGUGGAGGGGUGGGCCCCAGGGGUGUAAUAAGGAGCAGAAAAGGGGUGUGGUUCACCCCUAUGUGGUGCUUAGAUUCCACAGGGGAGGCAGGCAUUGAUUUAAAAAAAAAAAAAAGCACUUCACUAAAUACACUUUUGUACCUUAGCCUCAGGGCAAGGAGGCAAAGUGGAGGGGCUGUGAUCACCAGUCUCCAGGGCCUGGCUUGGCUGCUGGUGGAGGAAUCUGGGUGGGCUUCCCUGAGGAAGGGAUGUUUGAGAUAAAAUCUGGAAAGAAACAGCCAAUGAGGGGAGCAGCUGGUGGGGGAGGGGGAGAGCAUUCCAGGUACAGGGAACAGAGUAUGGGGGGGGCCCAGAGGCAGAAGGUAUUAGGGUGCAUCUGAGGAACCCAGUCAGCGACAGCAGCGUCUUCCUGUCUUCAGGCUGAUCUUUGUGGAAAUAACUGCUUCUUUCUUUCUGGGGUCAGGGUUUGAAAAUGAACUUGCUGUUUUUGAAUGCGGCUAUUGGUGUCUUCCAGCAUGUUCUUGACACCUUUCGGAAAUCCAUGCCUGCCUCAGACCCUUUCUGCCUGGGAAAAGCCAGGGAGGAAGAGACAACCAGUCCCCUCACCCUGGAUAUAUUUCUGUCUCUGCUGUACAGCCGCGUUACACCCCAGAGCCCCUGGGAAUCUCUCUCGUGACACCUCGGCUCCAUUUCUUGCAGAAAUUUCCAACUAAAGGGUAAUUGGGUUGGAGGUGUGAAAACAAAAAACUGCCAGCGGGUGGACACAAGGGAGCAAGAGGUGGGGUGGGGGAUUAACAUUCUAGAGCUUGGAACACAGCACGCCUCUUUUACUAUGUAAAAUACAAUAUCCCGAUCAUAUGCUAAUUAGUUAAUAACACUGUUAGUUAGGUGUGAGUUGCGAAAAUCCUGACCUGGGUAAUUGUAGUGCGCGUAGCUCUCUAACGAAUGGCUUUCGAAGAUCCGUGUUCCAAAAAUUAGAUUCUAUGAUUAUAUCACGAGCAAUGGCACCAUUUUGGUGGAGAGGGAGGGAGCUUUCCUGGUGACCCAACAUUGACCUUGGUGCUAUUUCUAGCUAGUUGUCACUGACCACCUGGAGGGGAGGAGCUGUUUGCCCGCAGACCCCCUGGAUGCAAAGCCAGAGGUGAUCUCUAAGUGAGUCGUCAUCUUUCUAGCCAGAGAGGAAUCAGAUGUCACCCUGCCUGGGUCUUGGCUGCAAGGCCAGGCAGCAGAGGCCUCCGUCCUGCACCAGGGACUCAGCCCCACGACCCGGGAGCUCACAUGCGGAGGCGGUGAAGGGCAAACAUGUGCCACCAUGACCUCUGCCUUUGAGGCGUGCUCAGCCAUUCCUUCAAUUUCACAAAGAUCGUUUCUGAGCCCCUACUGACUACCAGGCUCUUGGGAGAGUUCCUGCCCUGAGUUGCCUCUUGGUGGCAGGAGAGGCGGCCGAGGGGGGAAGCAAGGAGCUCCAAGUGAGAGGGCUGGUACAGGGUCGGCCGGGCCACCGUCUCCAUCCCAAGUGCCAGCCUAAGAGGAGGCUCCUGGCCUGCAGUUUUCAGACCUCCAGACAACCAGGGAGGUUGAACAGAGCUGGGAGAGGGAGCGGGGAAGAGAGCGAUUUCAGUAUUUCCUUUUUCUUUUUAAGGCUGCACCUACGGCAUUUGGAGGUUCCCAGGCUAGAGGCUGGAUUGGAGCUGUAGCUGCCAGCCUACACCACAGCCACAGCAACACAGGAUCCGAGCCGAGCCUGCGACCUACACCACAGCUCACGGCAAAGCUCAUGGCAAUGCUGGAGACUUAACCCCCUGAGCGAGGGCAGGGAUAGACCCUGCAUCCUCCUGGAUACUAGUCGGGUUCUUAACCCACUGAACCACAACGGGAACUCCCUCAGUAUUUCUAAAUCCCACAUUUCCUGGGGGUAAAGGAUCACACACUAAUGGAAAGAUUCACUUACAAAAAAACGUUGGGGGCUGAAAUGACCAUAAAUCAGUCUGGUCAGAUGGGUUAGCCCACCCGGGUCUAAAGUAUCGAAGGCUGUGUUGCACGCGUGGUUUUGAAAGAGUAGCUGCUGUGUCAGAUCAUUGAUUUUGCCAAUGAAAUUGGUGGGAACGUGGGCUGGUCACAUUCACUCCAAGUCCAGCAUUUCUCUUGGGGCUCCUGCUUCUUCCCUGAGUCGGACAAGAAUCCUGCCGCACCAGAGGAGACACGGACAGGACCGGCGAAGCGGGUCAGUUCGCCAGGGCCUGGGGAAAGCGGUCCGUUUAGGGCUGUGGGUGCUGCCGUCUCCGACACAGGUGCCAUGUUGCCCCUGGACCCACGUUGUCUGGUGUCCUUGUUGUGGCGGCUGGGACGGGGCCCUUACUGGCUCAGACCCUUCCCGGGGAGCUGUCUACACUCCUGUGCUCACAGCUCCUCGGUGACGCUCAACCCCACAGGCUCACUCUUGCAUUUCCUCUCUGCUCUGAGCCCAGACCCCUGCUCCUGGAUAGUCCUCCGAAUCCUUCAAGUUUCAGCCGAAAGGUCCGAGACGUCCCUCAUCCACCUGUGCCCCAGCCCUGCAGGUUUCCUGGCUGUUAGGAGAGGCCGUCUACACAAGAACUCAUAAAACUCGACUUUUCUCACUGCGCAUGCGCUCUCUGGGCAGGGCGGGGCGGGGCAGGGGGAGGGGCUGGGCAUGUGCCAGUGUCCCCCAGCAAAUUCCGAGUUCCUGGCCAUAACUCCACUCUUGGCAACAUUUCCAAUCCCUUGGGGAGGUGAUGACCUCCUAAGCUGGUGUGUGUGGUGCCAAGGUCCUUUUCCUUCUAAGAAUAAUGAGAAAUUAAACAUGAGUGGCUCACAUCCUCUCUUUCACAUAGAAGGUGGUCCCGCUUCCCCCCCUGAAUAUCGUCAUCUUUUCUUUACAAGCCUGGUAGCUCCUCAGACUGCAACUCCUCUGCACCCAGUGGCUGGUGGGAAAGCCUCGGUCACAGCAGACUGGAGCUUGGGAGACAGGGCUUUUAUGCGAUGAACCUGAUUUUUCACUUUUAAACUAGCUCUUUUGGCAUGGUGUGGACAGAACCCCAAGAAAAGCAAUAAUUGAGUAUUGAACUGCCUUCUGCCUUGACACAAACACCCUUGGUGAUUUCCAGGGCCCUGCGCUGUGGCCCUGAAUGGCUGAUUUGCUCGUAACUCCUCCUUGUUCCGUGACAGAAACACUCACCAAUGGAAAUAUCUGAAGACAGUCCUGUUAGUUUAGACUAGUGGCUGCUGAUCUGGGUGCCCUCGUUUGUCUGUGCCACAGCCUGGCUUUCCCUUGGACCGGAGAACAUGCUAUCUACAAAAGCAAACCCACAGAUGUCUUUAAUCAGGACAGAAUCCCUCACACAGCCUGAUCUGUGCAAAUUCAAGAACUCUUGCUGUCUAGUUUGAAUAAAAGCCGAGAUAAAUG
rnacentral:lncRNA from 1 species